CUAAUUUUGAAUCUGAGACUCACCUAAGACUUGGAUCUCGAGCGCGCUCUCUCUCUCUCUAAAUCUCAGAGCGAUUUCGAAGCUCCACCGCUUAUUCAUUCUCAGAGCGAGGUAGCAAGCACCAACGAAGAGCGUCAGAGAUUCAGAUCGGUCUCCACCAUCUGCACCAUCGUCUGCACCAUUAUCUGCACCAUCGUCUACUAAGGUGAGCUCCACCCUCUCUCUCUCUCUCUGAAGCUGUUCCUUCCCGUCGACUCGGUGGAAACUUCUUCAAGCCACGCAUUCCAAUCCGAGUUCAAGGUCGAAGAUGAUGACACCAAUUCGAUGCCCUCUGGUACUAUUCCCCAACCCUAGACUCUCGAUAUAUAUACAUAUACAAAUAAAUGUGUGUCUGUAACCCUAGAAUGCUUUAAUAUUUGGGUGAUUUUGUAGACAUUGGCUUGAUUCAACAUGCUGCGUGGAUUGGUUUGGCUACCAUCACAAGCAAGAUUCUAGUGAUUUUUAACGAUUAAAACCACCUCAACAUUUUGAUUGUUCUUGCUUAAUUUUUGAUGUAAUUGUUAUUGUUUUUCAUCGCAGGGAUUAAUUAGGGAGAUUAUUGUGGCUUCAGUUUUCGGCAUAGGUCCAGUGGCAACUGCAUUCAAGUAUGCUUAUCUGCUUCCUGGUUUUUCUGCAUCACUGCUGGGUGGUUAGUUUUCCUUGUAAUGUUUAAUGAGUUGUUUUGAUUUCGGAUAGUGCUUACAUUCUAUAUAAUAUUAUGGACAGUAUCUGUCGUCUGAAGUAGAACACAAAAAAGCAUUAUACUUGUCAAUUGUUUUGUAUGCCAUAUUUACUUCAUUUUGACCUUAAUUUUAUAAUUUUGACCUUAAUAAUGAUUAUACAUUAAGAUAGAACUGUCACAAAAAAAUUAAAAAGUAAACCAGUAGUUUUUGAUGGGUGCACUAUAAUGGGUGUGGAAUUAGCAACUCCCUCCCACUCCAUGGGACUUUACAUGAUCUACCCACAAGUCAAACAACAGUUACUUUCAAAGCGAUUUAGCGCCAUAAUUGUAAUUUCUUCAACCACCCAUUUUCCAUAUCAUCCUCCUCCUCACGAAUAAAACACUCAAAUUACAAAUAAAUAAAUAAAAUUAAUAAAAAGGCACCAACUGUAAUUUUUGUUUUUGACAGAAGGCACACGUCUCUGAUCUGAGAGAGCCUGAACAGGGCACCACCACCCAAUUGAUUAGAUUAGUGUUUCUCAUUUUCUCUGUACAAACCACAUACACCUACCAGGGAAGAUUGAAUAAGAAAUAAGGGGAAAAUGUCUGCAACUGUGAAGGACAUGGUGAUGAGGUUGACAAGUCAUGUAGCUGCUAAAAGAGUGGUACUGUUGAAGCACAAGUAUGUAGAUCACACUCAGAUUGAUUUUCUUAGAGGGAAUAAUUACCGUAAAGCGUCGGUUCAUUUGAACCGGUCGUGCAGUCGAGUUCAGCUCGCUCGCUGUCAGGAAGUAUUGCAAUUCAGUGCAAAUGGAUUCACCAACCUCAAGCCCGAGAAAGGAAAGCGACAGCUUGGAAGCUGGUCCAGAUCACAAGCCAUCCUAACCCCGGUUUUAGACCCGACUCCAACCAUGAAGAAGUAGCUAUAGUUGUUCUGUUUGUCCUUUUGAGAAGAUACUUUACUGGACAUACCAAAAACACAGAUGGAACUCCUCAAUUCAAGGCUGGUCAUACUAAAGUUUGGUACUGCCAUAGAUGGAGUUAUUAAGAUUUUCACUGUUGCAGUCACUAUUGUGGUUGUUGCAGUGCCUGAAGGGCUUCCCUUAGCCGCUACCUUAAC